rnacentral:lncRNA from 1 species
UCUCUUUAAAGUUUGAAAAUGUACAGUACAUCUAAAGUCAUGGCAUCUGAUCGAUUUAUUGCUGUUAACAGUUUUCAUCAGGGACCUGGGGAUGAUUCCCUACGUGAAAAUCUUUCUGGAUGUUGAGCAGUUCCGCAGUCCCGCUCUCUGCAUCCUGGAGCAGCUUGCUGAGGUGAAUCCAGAGGAAUACAUGAGCACUGCCAUUGGAGCGCUUUGCUCCUCUACUGAGAGCGAGAUCAAACUCAAACAGGAUCUUUUACAGUCUAUCAUGAAAGUUCUGGAAAAUCCUAACAGUUGGAAUGCUUUCCGCACUGCUGGAGGAUUUACCGGCUUGCUCUCCAUUGUUGUGGACAUGGAAGGAUCUCUUUUGGAAACCCCAGCGGGUCCGUGGGCUUCACUGAGCCGCCAGAGCCUCGUUGAACUGCUUCUUUUCACCCUACACACCAUUGCCUUUGCUGUUCACAUCCAUCCAGUCAACGCACACUUUUUUCACACAGUUGGAGUCUGUGAGAAGCUGGGUGAGGCCCUGCUGCAUCUUGGCUGUUUUCAGAAAGGGGAUCCUGUGGAAUCAGACAGAGACAGUUCGGCCUACAGGACUUUCCAGCAGUUUGUGGAGGUGGUGGAAAAGCCAGGACCUCAGCUGCCAGCACCUUUAGGAGACUGUGUUAAGCUGCUGGGCUUCCUAGAACAGUUUGCUACUGGUGUGAGCUUGGCUGCUGAUCCUUGCACAGGCUUGCAGGAUAAUAAUGAAGCUGGCGAGAUUCAGAUCAUAGACUCAGGUCAGACACCAGAGGAAUCGACCAAUAAGGAUGAAGCUUUUAAUCACGUUAGGGCUCCAAGUGUAUCUGUAGUAUCUAUAGAAUCGGGGAGGUAGGUACACUCAUAGUAUGCUAUUUCUAAAUACUAUUUAUUAUUAAAAUUGCAUUAUUAUUUGUUAUUUAAUUUAAUUUUGUUUUGUUUAAUAUUUAAUUUAUUUUUUACAUUUAAUUUAAUUAAAUUUUAUUUUUAAUUUAAUUUAAUAAAAUUGUAUUUUUUA